CUCAUUAGAACUUAUUAGAUAUAAGUGGAGCGUGAGCUAAGACGCAGAUAACAGGAAAUAUCGCACUAUGAAUAACAACCGAAAGGGAACAGGAGCUCCAGGGCCAGCUGAAAUAUCCAUCCACACAAAGCCUCCUGGCUGCGAUCUUAGGGGAAGGAGGUGAAGAGAAGUUCAGAGGGGAAACAACACCCAUGCUCACAGUUUCGGGAAUGAAUCAUCAUGAGUCAUGGAAGGAGAGGCAGAUGGACCAUCUUGGAGAAGAACAGAUUUGUGUAUGAAAUGGGAGGAGCUACUAAAAGCACAGAAUUAACUAUGUCUUUAAACAAUUUUUGUUAUACAAGCACAUUGGAAAAUCAUCCUUAAACGAGUGCGUAUGUGUAUAAUGUGUGUUAUAUUCAACAACAAUUCCAAAAGACCUCUCUGUAAAGGCAUUAGAAUAUCCUUGGAUUGUUUUCCUUGCUGCCAACUCAGAAUUACCUAGGAUCAGGCAGAGCAUCAGUAAACAAUGUGCCCAUUUGUACCCUGAGUGAUAAAAUGAGAGAAAGAGAAAUAACAAUAAGGACCAAAUGUUUUUCAGUACCUAACCUGGGUGACCAUUUACUUGUCUGAUUUGGAUAAUCUCCAGUUA